GACGAACGCUGGCGGCGUGCUUAGCACAUGCAAGUCGAACGGAAAGGCCCUGCUUUUGUGGGGUGCUCGAGUGGCGAACGGGUGAGUAACACGUGAGUAACCUGCCCUUGACUUUGGGAUAACUUCAGGAAACUGGGGCUAAUACCGGAUAGGAGCUCCCGCUGCAUGGUGGGGGUUGGAAAGUUUCGGCGGUUGGGGAUGGACUCGCGGCUUAUCAGCUUGUUGGUGGGGUAGUGGCUUACCAAGGCUUUGACGGGUAGCCGGCCUGAGAGGGUGACCGGCCACAUUGGGACUGAGAUACGGCCCAGACUCCUACGGGAGGCAGCAGUGGGGAAUAUUGCACAAUGGGCGGAAGCCUGAUGCAGCAACGCCGCGUGCGGGAUGACGGCCUUCGGGUUGUAAACCGCUUUCGCCUGUGACGAAGCGUGAGUGACGGUAAUGGGUAAAGAAGCACCGGCUAACUACGUG
rnacentral:rRNA from 1 species